GGCGUUUUGAAUGGCGUUUUCUCGUUUACACCGAGAGGGUCGGCGGUUCGAGCCCGUCACCGCCCACCA
rnacentral:tRNA from 1 species